UACGAAGGGGGCUAGCGUUGCUCGGAAUGACUGGGCGUAAAGGGCGCGUAGGCGGUUUGGACAGUCAGAUGUGAAAUUCCUGGGCUCAGCCUGGGGGCUGCAUUUGAUACGUUCGGACUAGAGUGGGGAAGAGGGUCGUGGAAUUCCCAGUGUAGAGGUGAAAUGCGUAGAUAUCGAGAGGAACACCUGCGGCGAAGGCGGGUUGCUGGGCUGACACUGACGCUGAGGCGCGAAAGCCAGGGGAGCGAACGGG
rnacentral:rRNA from 1 species